UGGAUACUCCCUCCGUCCCAAAAUUUGUCUUAGAUUUGUCUAGAUACGGAUGUAUCUAAUACUAAAAUGUGACUUGAUACAUCCAUAUUUAGACAAAUCUAAGACAAGAAUUUUAGGACGGAGGGAGUAUGUC
rfam:Triticum aestivum genome assembly, contig: Triticum_aestivum_CS42_TGACv1_scaffold_578205_7BL